rnacentral:rRNA from 1 species
GAUCCUGGCUCAGGAUGAACGCUAGCGGCAGGCUUAACACAUGCAAGUCGAGGGGCAUCGGGAGUAGCAAUACUGCCGGCGACCGGCGCAAGGGUGCGUAACGCGUGAGCAACAUGCCCGUAUCAGGGGGAUAAUCCAUGGAAACGUGGUCUAAUACCCCAUAGUAAUUAUGUAAGGCAUCUUAUAUAAUUUAAAGCUUUGGUGGAUACGGAUUGGCUCGCGUGACAUUAGCUGGAUGGUAAGGUAACGGCUUACCAUGGCUACGAUGUCUAGGGGUUCUGAGAGGAAGGUCCCCCACACUGGAACUGAGACACGGUCCAGACUCCUACGGGAGGCAGCAGUGAGGAAUAUUGGACAAUGGAUGGAAAUCUGAUCCAGCCAUGCCGCGUGCAGGAAGACGGCCCUAUGGGUUGUAAACUGCUUUUGUAUGGGAGCAAUAAGGGCUACGUGUAGUCCGAUGAGAGUACCAUACGAAUAAGCACCGGCUAACUCCGUGCCAGCCGCCGC